AUAUCAAUAAGCGGAGGAAAAGAAACCAACAGGGAUUGCCUCAGUAACGGCGAGUGAAGCGGCAACAGCUCAAAUUUGAAAUCUGGCUCUUUUAGGGCCCGAGUUGUAAUUUGUAGAGGAUGCUUCGGCGUCGGCUCCGGUCUAAGUUCCUUGGAACAGGACGUCAUAGAGGGUGAGAAUCCCGUAUGUGACUGGUGGCAUUUGUCCGUGUAAAGCUCUUUCGACGAGUCGAGUUGUUUGGGAAUGCAGCUCAAAAUGGGUGGUAUAUUUCAUCUAAAGCUAAAUAUUGGCCAGAGACCGAUAGCGCACAAGUA
rnacentral:rRNA from 1 species